GCGCGCAGGCGGUUUCUUAAGUCUGAUGUGAAAGCCCACGGCUCAACCGUGGAGGGUCAUUGGAAACUGGGGAACUUGAGUGCAGAAGAGAAAAGCGGAAUUCCACGUGUAGCGGUGAAAUGCGUAGAGAUGUGGAGGAACACCAGUGGCGAAGGCGGCUUUUUGGUCUGUAACUGACGCUGAGGCGCGAAAGCGUGGGGAGCAAACAGGAUUAGAUACCCUGGUAGUCCACGCCGUAAACGAUGAGUGCUAAGUGUUAGAGGGUUUCCGCCCUUUAGUGCUGCAGCUAACGCAUUAAGCACUCCGCCUGGGGAGUACGGUCGCAAGACUGAAACUCAAAGGAAUUGACGGGGGCCCGCACAAGCGGGGGAGCAUGUGGUUUAAUUCGAAACAA
rnacentral:rRNA from 2 species